rnacentral:rRNA from 1 species
UACGUAGGGACCGAGCGUUGUCCGGAAUUAUUGGGCGUAAAGAGCUCGUAGGCGGUUUGUUGCGUCUAUCGUGAAAACCUGCAGCUUAACUGUGGGCUUGCGGUGGAUACGGGCAGACUUGAGUUCGGUAGGGGAGACUGGAAUUCCUGGUGUAGCGGUGAAAUGCGCAGAUAUCAGGAGGAACACCGGUGGCGAAGGCGGGUCUCUGGGCCGAUACUGACGCUGAGGAGCGAAAGCGUGGGGAGCGAACAGG